GAUGAACGCUGGCGGCGUGCCUAAUACAUGCAAGUCGAGCGAACAGACGAGGAGCUUGCUCCUCUGACGUUAGCGGCGAACGGGUGAGUAACACGUGGGUAACCUACCUAUAAGACUGGGAUAACUUCGGGAAACCGGAGCUAAUACCGGAUAAUAUAUUGAACCGCAUGGUUCAAUAGUGAAAGACGGUUUUGCUGUCACUUAUAGAUGGAUCCGCGCCGCAUUAGCUAGUUGGUAAGGUAACGGCAUACCAAGGCAACGGUGCGUAGCCGCCCUGAGAGGGUGAUCGGCCACACUGGAACUGAGACACGGUCGAGACUCCGACGGGAGGCAGCAGUAGGGAAUCUUCCGCAAAGGGCGAAAGCCUGACGGAGCAACGCCGCGUGAGUGAUGAAGGUCUUCGGAUCGGAAAACUCUGUUAUUAGGGAAGAACAAAUGUGUAAGUAACUAUGCACGUCUUGACGGUACCUAAUCAGAAAGCCACGGCUAACUACGUG
rnacentral:rRNA from 1 species